rnacentral:rRNA from 1 species
UGAGGAAUAUUGGUCAAUGGGCGAGAGCCUGAACCAGCCAAGUCGCGUGAGGGAAGACGGUCCUACGGAUUGUAAACCUCUUUUGUCGGGGAGCAAUAAAGCGUACGCGUACGCAGAUGCGAGUACCCGAAGAAAAGCAUCGGCUAACUCCGUGCCAGCAGCCGCGGUAAUACGGAGGAUGCGAGCGUUAUCCGGAUUUAUUGGGUUUAAAGGGUGCGCAGGCGGAAAGUGCAAGUCAGCGGUCAAACGACGGGGCUCAACCCCGUCUCGCCGUUGAAACUGUCUUUCUAGAGUGAGCGAGAAGUAUGCGGAAUGCGUGGUGUAGCGGUGAAAUGCAUAGAUAUCACGCAGAACUCCGAUUGCGAAGGCAGCAUACCGGCGCUCAACUGACGCUCAUGCACGAAAGCGUGGGGAUCGAACAGGAUUAGAUACC